AAAUUGAAGAGUUUGAUCAUGGCUCAGAUUGAACGCUGGCGGCAGGCCUAACACAUGCAAGUCGAACGGUAACAGGAAGCAGCUUGCUGCUUUGCUGACGAGUGGCGGACGGGUGAGUAAUGUCUGGGAAACUGCCUGAUGGAGGGGGAUAACUACUGGAAACGGUGGCUAAUACCGCAUAACGUCGCAAGACCAAAGAGGGGGACCUUCGGGCCUCUUGCCAUCAGAUGUGCCCAGAUGGGAUUAGCUUGUUGGUGAGGUAACGGCUCACCAAGGCGACGAUCCCUAGCUGGUCUGAGAGGAUGACUAGCCACACUGGAACUGAGACACGGUCCAGACUCCUACGGGAGGCAGCAGUGGGGAAUAUUGCACAAUGGGCGCAAGCCUGAUGCAGCCAUGCCGCGUGUAUGAAGAAGGCCUUCGGGUUGUAA
rnacentral:rRNA from 1 species